rnacentral:tRNA from 1 species
GGGAAAGUGGCUCAGUGGUAGAGCGCUUGCCUUGCAAGCAUAAGGCCCUGGGUUCGAUUCCUCAGCACCA